GAUGAACGCUGGCGGCGUGCCUAAUACAUGCAAGUCGAGCGAACAGAUGAGGAGCUUGCUCCUCUGACGUUAGCGGCGGACGGGUGAGUAACACGUGGAUAACCUACCUAUAAGACUGGGAUAACUUCGGGAAACCGGAGCUAAUACCGGAUAAUAUAUUGAACCGCAUGGUUCAAUAGUGAAAGACGGUUUUGCUGUCACUUAUAGAUGGAUCCGCGCCGCAUUAGCUAGUUGGUAAGGUAACGGCUUACCAAGGCAACGAUGCGUAGCCGACCUGAGAGGGUGAUCGGCCACACUGGAACUGAGACACGGUCCAGACGCCUACGGGAGGCAGCAGUAGGGAAUCUUCCGCAAUGGGCGAAAGCCUGACGGAGCAACGCCGCGUGAGUGAUGAAGGUCUUCGGAUCGUAAAACUCUGUUAUUAGGGAAGAACAAAUGUGUAAGUAACUAUGCACGUCUUGACGGUACCGAAUCAGAAAGCCACGGCUAACUACGU
rnacentral:rRNA from 1 species